GAGCAACCUGCCCUCGACUCCGGGAUAACCACCGGAAACGGUGGCUAAUACUGGAUAUGACCUCCCGCCGCAUGGUGGGGGGUGGAAAGUUUUUCGGUCGGGGAUGGGCUCGCGGCCUAUCAGCUUGUUGGUGGGGUGAUGGCCUACCAAGGCGACGACGGGUAGCCGGCCUGAGAGGGUGACCGGCCACACUGGGACUGAGACACGGCCCAGACUCCUACGGGAGGCAGCAGUGGGGAAUAUUGCGCAAUGGGCGGAAGCCUGACGCAGCGACGCCGCGUGAGGGAUGAAGGCCUUCGGGUUGUAAACCUCUUUCAGCUCCGAAGAAGCGAGAGUGACGGUAGGAGCAGAAGAAGCACCGGCUAACUACGUGCCAGCAGCCGCGGUAAUACGUAGGGUGCAAGCGUUAAUCGGAAUUACUGGGCGUAAAGCGUGCGCAGGCGGUUCGGAAAGAAAGAUGUGAAAUCCCAGAGCUUAACUUUGGAACUGCAUUUUUAACUACCGAGCUAGAGUGUGUCAGAGGGAGGUGGAAUUCCGCGU
rnacentral:rRNA from 1 species